ACAUCGGAUCUCUUGGCUCUCCUUUCAAUAAAGAAUCUCUUGAAAUGCGAUACGUAAUGUGAAUUGCAGAAUUCAGUGAAUCAUCGAAUCUUUGAACGCACCUUGCGCCCUUUGGCCUUCCAACGGGCCUUGCCGCCUUUAGUGUUUCCGAAUUCCCCACCCCCUUUCUUUGUCUCUUUAGACCCAAGGAUCUAUUUUUCAUCUGGACGCCUUAUGAUGGUUGCACUUUGAAGGCAUUUGCUGCCGUUUCUCUCUUUUGGGUGGGCUGUUCCUCUCCUAUGAAUGAUAGGGGUUCUCUUUGCCGAGCCUCGACGUGCGAUACAAUGUUUCCAUGUCGUGUCUUAUGGCUCUGUGGCCUUUGGGACCCGCUUCAUAACCUCUCUCUGAGAAGCCAAUGCUCGAGCACGUCUCCCUUCUCGGGAACCACUGACAAAACCCGCUACCCU
rnacentral:rRNA from 1 species